UUUUGGUGGACAUAGACCGUCAACCUUUAGCCACAAUUGAUAAUCAAAAAAAGACUACUUGGUACACAAACUUAUCAACUAUAGAAGGAUUUCUUGAUGAGGAUGAAUGGUCUUAUAUUGCCUGCAAAAAAUGCACUAGAAAGGUUGUAACCAUAGAUCCAGAACAAGAAAUUGUUGGCUCAAUUGACGAACAGUUGGUAAUCCCUUUCAGAUGUAACAAGUGCGGCGAUCACCCCCUCUCUAUCUAAGGUACAAAGUCAAUAUCAUAGUAGAAGAUGAAACAGGCUCAUUCGCUUUCACCCUCUUUGAAAGAGAUGU